rnacentral:rRNA from 1 species
CCUACGGGGGGCAGCAGUGGGGAAUAUUGGACACUGGGCGAAAGCCUGAUCCAGCCAUGCCGCGUGUGUGAAGAAGGCCUUCGGGUUGUAAAGCACUUUCAGUGGGGAAGAAAGCCUUGGGGCUAAUACCCUCGAGGAAGGACAUCACCCACAGAAUAAGCACCGGCUACCUCCGUGCCAGCAGCCGCGGUAAUACGGAGGGUGCGAGCGUUAAUCGGAAUUACUGGGCGUAAAGCGCGCGUAGGCGGUCUGAUAAGCCGGUUGUGAAAGCCCCGGGCUCAACCUGGGAACGGCAUCCGGAACUGUCAGGCUAGAGUGCAGGAGAGGAAGGUAGAAGUCCCGGUGUAGCGGUGAAAUGCGUAGAGAUCGGGAGGAAUACCAGUGGCGAAGGCGGCCUUCUGGACCGACACGGACGCUGAGGUGCGAAAGCGUGGGUAGCAAACAGGAUUAGAUACCCUAGUAGUC